UAAAAAGACAAUAGUCUGAGAGCCCUUGUC
rnacentral:piRNA from 1 species